rnacentral:tRNA from 1 species
UCCUCGGUAGCUCAACGGUAGAGCACCCGGCUGUUAACCGGGUGGCUGUUGGUUCGAAUCCAACCCGGGGAGCCA